rnacentral:ncRNA from 1 species
UUCAAGCCAACUGGAGAGAGGUUGUUGCGACAACCCACCGAAGGGGCAAGCGGCGUAAGCGGCGUAAACUCUCAGGUAAACGGACAGAGGGAGGGGC